rnacentral:rRNA from 1 species
UACGGGAGGCAGCAGUAGGGAAUCUUCCACAAUGGACGAAAGUCUGAUGGAGCAACGCCGCGUGAGUGAAGAAGGGUUUCGGCUCGUAAAACUCUGUUGUUAAAGAAGAACAUAUCUGAGAGUAACUGUUCAGGUAUUGACGGUAUUUAACCAGAAAGCCACGGCUAACUACGUGCCAGCAGCCGCGGUAAUACGUAGGUGGCAAGCGUUGUCCGGAUUUAUUGGGCGUAAAGCGAGCGCAGGCGGUUUUUUAAGUCUGAUGUGAAAGCCUUCGGCUCAACCGAAGAAGUGCAUCGGAAACUGGGAAACUUGAGUGCAGAAGAGGACAGUGGAACUCCAUGUGUAGCGGUGAAAUGCGUAGAUAUAUGGAAGAACACCAGUGGCGAAGGCGGCUGUCUGGUCUGUAACUGACGCUGAGGCUCGAAAGUAUGGGUAGCAAACAGGAUUAGAUACCCUGGUAGUCCAUACCGUAAACGAUGAAUGCUAAGUGUUGGAGGGUUUCCGCCCUUCAGUGCUGCAGCUAACGCAUUAAGCAUUCCGCCUGGGGAGUACGGCCGCAAGGCUGAAACUCAAAGGAAUUGACGGGGGCCCGCACAAGCGGUGGAGCAUGUGGUUUAAUUCGAAGCUACGCGAAGAACCUUACCAGGUCUUGACAUACUAUGCAAAUCUAAGAGAUUAGACGUUCCCUUCGGGACAUGGAUACAGGUGGUGCAUGGUUGUCGUCAGCUCGUGUCGUGAGAUGUUGGGUUAAGUCCCGCAACGAGCGCAACCCUUAUUAUCAGUUGCCAGCAUUAAGUUGGGCACUCUGGUGAGACUGCCGGUGACAAACCGGAGGAAGGUGGGGAUGACGUCAAAUCAUCAUGCCCCUUAUGACCUGGGCUACACACGUGCUACAAUGGAUGGUACAACGAGUUGCGAACUCGCGAGAGUAAGCUAAUCUCUUAAAGCCAUUCUCAGUUCGGAUUGUAGGCUGCAACUCGCCUACAUGAAGUCGGAAUCGCUAGUAAUCGCGGAUCAGCAUGCCGCGGUGAAUACGUUCCCGGGCCUUGUACACACCGCCCGUCACACCAUGAGAGUUUGUAACACCC